AUUUUACGGAGGCAUACAUUGCACAUAGGUAUGACUGCAAAAAUGGGUGGCUAACUCUGGGAAGAUACUUGUGUUAAACUUUAUACGACAUUUAAUAACUCUUCAUCAUAAGGCAAUGUUUUUUACAAAAAGUUGAAAAAAUCAUGUAAGUCAUUUACUCUGCAAAAAUGGCACAUUAUGUGGGGCUCCAAAAUCCAUAAUGAAACGAUGUGUUUUGCAACUAAGAAACAUUCAUUAUGAUAUAUGGAAAACACUGUCUACUUGUCCUUUGUCAAAAAAUGUGAAACUCUGAGGAUCAUAAAAUUUACUACUAAAAAUAAUCUUCAUGUCUAAGUGAUACUUAUUUAAGACUUUACACUGUUCUGCUUAACCAUAGUCUCCUGUCUGAUUUUAGCGAUAAUUGCAAAGUAUUUCUAACUACAACAAUUUAAUUUUAGACACACCUGUGAGGAAGUUGCAAGCCAACAAAAGAGUUCAAGGAUCUAGAAGACGAUUAAGGGAAGGUCGUUCUCAGUGAAAAUCCAAAAACCAGACAAAAAUGUUUAUACAACCUAAGUCAAUAACCUGACCUUAGAAAAUUGUGAGAGCCAAGCUGACUUCAGGAACUGAAACAUCAGCACAAAGAGCAAUCAUCAAAUAAUUCUGAACACAAAUUUAAUAUUUUUUUUUCUGAAUGAAAAACAUGAGGGAAAUUGUGGAGUUAGCCUCCUAUGGUAAAGGAAUUGAAGAAAAUAUAACACCUUACACGCUUUUUCAUCUUGACAUUAAAAGUUCUGGCUAACUUUGGAAUCCAUUAGAGAAAAAUCCUUGUCACAGAUUCAUUACAAUUCAAAUCAAAGAGUUGUGAACUGUUAUCCCACUGAAAAGACCGAGACUUGUAUGUAUGUUAUGAAUACAUAAAAUGCAUGCAAGCCGUUAUCUCUCCAUGGGAAGCUAAGUUAUAAAAAUAGGUGCUUGGUGUACAAAACUUUUUACAUCAAAAGGCUUUGCACAUUUCUAUAUGAGUGGGUUUACUGGUAAAUUAUGUUAUUUUUUACAACUAAUUUUGUACUCUCAGAAUGUUUGUUAUAUGCUUCUUGCAAUGCAUAUUUUUUAAUCCAAACAUUUCAAUAAAACCAUUUUUCAGGUAUAAAGAGAAUUACUUCAAAU
rnacentral:sRNA from 1 species